rnacentral:rRNA from 1 species
UCGAGCGGAAAGGCCCUUUCGGGGGUACUCGAGCGGCGAACGGGUGAGUAACACGUGAGUAAUCUGCCCUGCGCUCUGGGAUAGCCACCGGAAACGGUGAUUAAUACCGGAUAGGACCACUUCACGCAUGUGAUGGUGGUGGAAAGUUUUUUCGGCGCAGGAUGUGCUCGCGGCCUAUCAGCUUGUUGGUGAGGUAACGGCUCACCAAGGCUUUGACGGGUAACCGGCCUGAGAGGGUGACCGGUCACACUGGGACUGAGACACGGCCCAGACUCCUACGGGAGGCAGCAGUGGGGAAUAUUGGACAAUGGGCGGAAGCCUGAUCCAGCAACGCCGCGUGAGGGAUGACGGCCUUCGGGUUGUAAACCUCUUUCAGUACCGACGAAGCGAAAGUGACGGUAGGUACAGAAGAAGGACCGGCCAACUACGUGCCAGCAGCCGCGGUAAUACGUAGGGUCCGAGCGUUGUCCGGAAUUAUUGGGCGUAAAGGGCUCGUAGGCGGUUUGUCGCGUCGGGAGUGAAAACACCGGGCUUAACUCGGUGCUUGCUUUCGAUACGGGCAGACUAGAGGUAUGCAGGGGAGAAUGGAAUUCCUGGUGUAGCGGUGAAAUGCGCAGAUAUCAGGAGGAACACCGGUGGCGAAGGCGGUUCUCUGGGCAUUACCUGACGCUGAGGAGCGAAA